rnacentral:tRNA from 1 species
GGGCCCGUAGUCUAGCCUGGAUAGGACAUGAGCCUGCGGAGCUUAGGACUCGGGUUCAAAUCCCGACGGGCCCG